rnacentral:rRNA from 1 species
GAUGAACGCUGGCGGCGUGCCUAAUACAUGCCAGUCGAGCGAACGGACGAGAAGCUUGCUUCUCUGAUGUUAGCGGCGGACGGGUGAGUAACACGUGGAUAACCUACCUAUAAGACUGGGAUAACUUCGGGAAACCGGAGCUAAUACCGGAUAAUAUUUUGAACCGCAUGGUUCAAAAGUGAAAGACGGUCUUGCUGUCACUUAUAGAUGGAUCCGCGCUGCAUUAGCUAGUUGGUAAGGUAACGGCUUACCAAGGCAACGAUGCAUAGCCGACCUGAGAGAGUGAUAGGCCACACUAGAAGGUAGACGCGGUCCAGACUCCUGCGGUAGGGAGCAGUAGGGAAUCCUCCGCAAUGGGCGGAAGCCUGACGGAGCAACGCCGCGUGAGUGAUGAAGGUCUUCGGAUCGUAAAAAUCUGUUAUUAGGGAAGAACAUAUGUGUAAGUAACUGUGCACAGCUUGACGGUAACUAAUCAGAAAGCCACGGCUAACUACGUG